UGCAAAUUUUUCGGGUUUUUCUCUUAACUGGCACUGGUAAUAGAGAGAGGCAAAUACAGAGAAAUAAAGAGACAAAAAUAGAAAUAGAAAUUGAGAGAGACAGAUACAAUCCGUAAGUGCAUAUGAAUUGAGAUUGAGGAUAGGCACUACUUUGUGACCAACAUAAUCGGAACUAAACACAGACCGACAAAAGUUCCUUUGUGUCUACAAAGUUGUUGUUUGUGUCUUCCACAAACAAUGUAUGUGAAAUUGAAGGAGAGGUUGCUGGUUCAUUAACUAAUAGAGAGAGAUUGGAUUAUUUUUUUCCUUUACUGUGGAAGAUUCCUUUUUAUGCUUUGACAUAUGCUUAAUACUUAAGUUCUAUAUCAAAAGUGACAUGAUGAAUGUCCUGUUUAGUUAGAUUUAUAAUGUUCACUAGGCAUUUUUGUAAGAAACGUUGUUGGAACAAACUAAUAGGUUAGGAUAGUCUGAUUUCCCUUC